rnacentral:rRNA from 1 species
ACCGGUUAGUAGUCUUUGACUGCGAAGCUGAGAAUUUAAGCCCCAGUAAACGGCGGUGGUAACUAUAACCAUCCUAAGGUAGCGAAAUUCCUUGUCGGGUAAGUUCCGACCUGCACGAAUGGAGUAACGAUUUCCCUACUGUCUCCACCAUGAACUCGGUGAAAUUGCAUUACGAGUAAAGAUGCUCGUUACGCGCAGCAGGACGGAAAGACCCCGGGACCUUUACUAUAGUUUGGUAUUGGUGAUUGGGACGGUUUGUGUAGGAUAGGUGGGAGACGUUGAUGCGGCCACGCUAGUGGUGGUGGAGUCGUUGGUGAAAUACCACUCUGAUUGUUCUGGUUAUCUCACUGUGGACCGUGAUCCGGUUCAAGGACAGUGCCUGAUGGGUAGUUUGACUGGGGCGGUCGCCUCCUAAAGGGUAACGGAGGCGCCCAAAGGUUCCCUCAUCCUGGUUGGUAAUCAGGUGGUGAGUGUAAGUGCACAAGGGGGCUUGACUGUGAGACUGACAGGUCGAGCAGGGACGAAAGUCGGGACUAGUGAUCUGACGGUGGCUUGUGGAUGCGCCGUCACUCAACGGAUAAAAGGUACCCCGGGGAUAACAGGCUGAUCUUGCCCGAGCGCUCAUAGCGACGGCAUGGUUUGGCACCUCGAUGUCGGCUCGUCGCAUCCUGGGGCUGUAGUCGGUCCCAAGGGUUGGGCUGUUCGCCCAUUAAAGCGGCACGCGAGCUGGGUUCAGAACGUCGUGAGACAGUUCGGUCCCUAUCCGUCGCGGGCGUAGGAAAUUUGAGAGGAUCUGCUCCUAGUACGAGAGGACCAGAGUGGACUUACCGCUGGUGUACCAGUUGUCUUGCCAAAGGCAUCGCUGGGUAGCUAUGUAGGGAAGGGAUAAACGCUGAAAGCAUCUAAGUGUGAAACCCACCUCAAGAUGAGAUUUCCCAUGAUUUUAUAUCAGUAAGAGCCCUGAGAGAUGAUCAGGUAGAUAGGUUAGAAGUGGAAGUGUGGCGACACAUGUAGCGGACUAAUACUAAUAGCUCGAGGACUUAUCCAA